rnacentral:rRNA from 1 species
GACGAACGCUGGCGGCGCGCUUAACACAUGCAAGUCGAACGGAAAGGCCUGCUUUCCCUUGUGGAUUGCGGGUACUCGAGUGGCGAACGGGUGAGUAACACGUGAGUGAUCUGCCCCCAACUUGGGUAUAAGCCUGGGAAACUGGGUCUAAUUCCCGAUAGGACUGCAGGGUGGUGCCUGUGGUGGAAAACGAUUUUCUAGUGGUUGGGGAUGAGCUCGCGGCCUAUCAGCUUGUUGGUGGGGUAAUGGCCUACCAAGGCGGCGACGGGUAGCCGGCCUGAGAGGGUGGACGGACACAUUGGGACUGAGAUACGGCCCAGACUCCUACGGGAGGCAGCAGUGGGGAAUAUUGCACAAUGGGCGGAAGCCUGAUGCAGCGACGCAGCGUGGGGGAUGACGGCCUUCGGGUUGUAAACUCCUUUCGACCGCGAGGAAGCCACCUGGUUGGAAGGGUGGUGACGGUAGUGGUAGAAGAAGCACCGGCUAACUACGUG